AGUGAACGCUGGCGGUAGGCCUAACACAUGCAAGUCGAACGGCAGCACAGUAAGAGCUUGCUCUUACGGGUGGCGAGUGGCGGACGGGUGAGGAAUACAUCGGAAUCUACUUUUUCGUGGGGGAUAACGUAGGGAAACUUACGCUAAUACCGCAUACGACCUACGGGUGAAGGCAGGGGAUCUUCGGACCUUGCGCGAUUGAAUGAGCCGAUGUCGGAUUAGCUAGUUGGCGGGGUAAAGGCCCACCAAGGCGACGAUCCGUAGCUGGUCUGAGAGGAUGAUCAGCCACACUGGAACUGAGACACGGUCCAGACUCCUACGGGAGGCAGCAGUGGGGAAUAUUGGACAAUGGGCGCAAGCCUGACCCAGCCAUACCGCGUGGGUGAAGAAGGCCUUCGGGUUGUAAAGCCCUUUUGUUGGGAAAGAAAAGCAGCAGGUUAAUACCCCGCUGUUCUGACGGUACCCAAAGAAUAAGCACCGGCUAACUUCGUG
rnacentral:rRNA from 1 species